CGACCGCGUGGAGGAUGAAGCCCCUUCGGGAUGUAAACUCCUUUCGAUCGGGACGAUUAUGACGGUACCGGAAGAAGAAGCACCGGCUAACUCUGUGC
rnacentral:rRNA from 1 species